GGAGCCGGUGACGCUGAGUGCUGAGUACCCAUCUCAGGGCAGUGAUGCAGAAAAGGGCGUCACCUCAGCCCUUCCCACCAGCGGGAAGAGAAGCUCUCAUGGACCACACUCUGCACCCCGCUACUGAGGACAGCUGCAUUGGUGUGGAACAUCAUAGCAUGGAGAGAGCCCUGCACCCACACAUCCUGGCUGCCAGGAGAACCCUGGAGAUGGGUUUGAGAUACAGUGAGACGUCAAAUUCAUCUUGGCCACUCGGUGUACCCCAGAUAACAGACAGAAUGCUAAAGAGGCUAGGAAUUAUGCAGGUAUGUGUGGACGAGUAUGAGCAUAUUUCCUUAAUUGGCCUUUUUCCCUUUUUUUUGGUAGCACUGAGACUCAAUUAAGGGCCUCCCACGUGCCUUGCAAAUGCUCCACCCAGCUGUAUCCCCAGCCCUGAUUCCAUUUUGUAGCCUUUUCACAUACUGUGAUUUCUACAUAAAUAAAUUUUAAUUUUGACAGACUAUAAUUUAGGUAAUUACUGUCCUACUUUUAAACAUUGGAGAUAUUCUUAUGUAAAACUAUGCUAAACCCCCUUUUAUAUAACUAUUUGACUAAGUAGCUUAUUAUUUAUUUAGGAAUUCCCUAAGGCUCACCAGGUCAAAAGUUAUUGGAUAUAAACAUUUUUAAGAUUUCAAAUAUAAGCAUUGCUAGUAUUACUAUACAGAAAUGCUGAACCAAUUUUAACCUCCACCAGCACCAGAGGCGUCUCCCUUUAACUCCACCCCUACUUGCACUGGAAUACAAGUUCCUUGGCACUCCUCGUUAAGUACCAAGCAAAUUGUUUUGGCUGCAAAGGGUAGCGAGUCAUGUGACAAUCAACAUGAAAUUCUAGGUUUUCCCUCAAGUAGUAAACAAACUACAAAUACCAAGACAAAAUGUUUACAUCAAAACUCAUCAGCAGCAGGCGUGGUAGCACACGCCUGUAAUCCCAGCCUUCAGGAGGCUGAGGCAGGAGGAUCGUUGUGAGUUCGAGACCAGCCUGGGCUACAAAGUCAGCUCAAGGCCAGCCUGAACUGCACAGGGACACCCUGCCUCAAAAAGACCAAAAAAAAAACCUCAUCAGCUACCAAAUUCAACAAAUUUCAAAGCACUCAAGUACCAAGGUAUGCCUAUAAUUUAAAAAGAACUUUGCCAAGUAAGUAGACCCCCCCAAAAAAAACCCCUGAUUUUUUCAUAAUUACUUACAUAUUCUCGUUGAUUCACACUCAUGCAUCUGUUAGCUAGUUGUAUUUUCUGGUGAAUUAUACACUGUGACUUUUGACCCUUUAUCUACUGGUACAUUAAAAUUUUUCUUAUCUGUGACUUCUUUUUAUAGCAAUAUAUCACACUACAAUGGAGAUAUACUCUAAGGAAUGCAUCAUUAGGUGAUUUGCUAUAUGGAAUUAUACAGAGUGUAUUUACACAAAUACCUAGAUGGUUUAGCCUCCUAAACAUCUAGGCCAUAUCAUUCUCUGGGCUCUUCUGUGGCUAACAUAGGAAUUGAGACCAUCUUAUUACAGUAUUUGUCAAGGUUCUGACAGUGGUUUUAGUUUCUUUAGUACUCUGAUCUCUUCAGGCCAGGAAGAGGCAUACUAGGUUGCAAAACUAAUAUUCCAUUCACUGGAAAGUAAAUACUCAGUUAAAGAUUAAUAAAAUGGCACGAGAUUUACAAACUUAUCUCUUGGAUGUCUGGAAAAAAUCAACAACAAAUAGAGCUUUAAAAAAGAAAAAGGCAAGGAAAAUGGUGGAGUGGUGAUCAGUAGCAAAAUUCAGCCUCUAGAGAUGAAAUACAGAUAUUGGAAAACAACUUGGUAAAUUCAGAAAUUCAGAAAUUCACCAAGAAUCUGGAAGACGCUGACAGGAAAAAUUAGAAGCUCCAGAAAAGUUGGAAGGAUGGUCCACAAAGCAGAGAAGAGAACAAAACAAUAUGUACUCUUUCCCUGGCUUGUGGGGAGGGGAAUCUGGAUCUCAGAAGCAAGGUAAGCUCCCAGGGCUGGGAGAUCCAGGGAGAAAUGGCAGCAGAACCCAUGACCACUGUGAACUCCAAAAACUGUGCAGGGCUUUGCUCCAAGAGGGUUCCUUUCACAUGGCAGGCAACAUCCAGAGAGGAACUCAGGUGUGGCAACCCAUCACAUUGCCAGAAUACUUAAUCAGGCGCCAUCUCAGAAAGGGGUUGAUUGUUUAAGUCUGGGACUCAGAACAACAUAAAAACAACUUCACUUCAGGACUCCCAGUGUUACCCUCCCAUAGUGACUUGGAGUCAGACAACCAUGGACUGAAAUCUCUGGAAUCAUAAGCCAAAUAAAUUUUUCCUCCUUUCAGUGGCUUUUCUCAGGUAUUUGGUCAUAGUGACACAAAACUGACUACUACAGAUGGUAAAUAUAUCCUUGCAACAGUGAGUAGAUAAAUUACCACACAAUAUCAAGGAUAUAGCAAGGAUAAAAACCUCACUUAAGAAUACAUUCAUCAAGUAUGUCCCUAUACACUGAACAUGUACAGUUCUCAAAUGCUUUCUUAAUCUCUAUCAUUGAACUUCCAAAUUAAACAUAUUACUAUUAAUUAUAAUUUCUUUCUUGGCAGUCUCACCUGCAAUGAAGAAGGUAGUCAUGAAGCACAGUGCACCCACUGCCCAUAGCAUGUGCUCCUUUGCUGACCACAUAACAGUCAUAUGUGGUUCCUCUUGGGCAUGGUAGAAUGCAGUAUGAUAAUUCAUAAGCAGGAAGCUAAUUCCUAAAAUGGAUGAGGGAAAUGUACACUAAGUUAGGCUGGGAUACAGUGAAAAGAACCAAUGUCAAUGGGCUAUUACCAAACUUACUUGAAAAUAGUUUGGCAACAAUUGUAAACUACAAGAUUUCCAAUGGCUGUGUAAAUGCUACUCUGAGAAGCUAAUUAGGGUACCUGCAAACCUUC
ensembl:lincRNA